rnacentral:rRNA from 1 species
GACAGAGGGUGCAAACGUUGUUCGGAUUUACUGGGCGUAAAGCGCGUGUAGGCGGCUUUGCAAGUCGGAUGUGAAAGCCCACGGCUCAACCGUGGAAGUGCAUCCGAAACUGUAUGGCUGGAGUCUCGGAGAGGAAGGUGGAAUGCUUGGUGUAGAGGUGAAAUUCGUAGAUAUCAAGCAGAACACCUGCGGCGAAGGCGGCCUUCUGGACGAUGACUGACGCUGAGACGCGAAAGCGUGGGGAGCAAACAGG